AAAAUUAUAGUGAGAGAGAGAUUAGAAUGGUAUCUUUACUAUGAAACACAAUCACAUGCCCACUCAUUCCUUUUUCUUGUUCAAUUCUUACAUUUUUUUCAAGUCUUCUUUUUGUCUUCUUUGUGAAUAUCUCACUCUUAAUCAUUGUAAAUGGGAUUCAACGAAUUCAGGGUAAUGCUAAUUACAGGCCAUAUUGCGCACAGUUUGUGUUCUAGUGUGGUAGCUCUAUGGCAACUCAGCUCUUCUGUUGAGUGUUAAUCGGCGAAUCAAUAAUGGCUGCCUCAAGUGAUAAAGACAAGAUGGGGGAGACAGCUGCUUCAGAUCGUGCUCUUGAAGUGUCAGUUUCAUUUGGUAGAUUUGAGAAUGAUUCAUUGUCUUGGGAGAAAUGGUCAUCUUUCUCAAAGAAUAAGUACAUGGAGGAAGUUGAGAAGUGUGCCACACCUGGAUCUGUGGCUGAGAAAAAGGCCUACUUUGAAGCUCAUUACAAAAAGAUUGCUGCCAGAAAGGCUGAGCAGAUGGGUGAACAUGACUCACUAGGGUCAUAUGACCAAAAUGGCGGAGAUCUCAUUGAAAAAGCUCGUGGGACAGAUUCUGAAUUUGAUAUUCCCAAUUGCCUAACUUCUGCUGAAGGGACUGAGCAAGAAACCAAAUUGAAUAGUGAGUUGGGUUCUGGCCAAGUUGAUGAGGAUGAUGAAGAUGCUGCAAUCAAUGUGGAAGGUCAAGGCUCUUCAAUUGAAAGAUUGGAAGAAGUACUGGGUAGCAGAUUAGAUGGCUUCACAUUAAACAAGCCAGAAGAAGCUGCUUUAGCUAAAGAAGAGAAAACUUUGUGCACAGAGUCUCAGGUAACAAAGGACUCGCCAAAGAACUUGGACAAAGAGAAAGAAAGGAUUGCUGUAAUUAAAGAGGAAAAUUUGAAGUUAGAUCAUCAUAAGGAGUCUCAAAAGACUUCUCCAAUGAGUAAGAUAAGAGAUAUGACGAGGGUAAAGAAGAAACCGGCAUCACCUGUAGCUAAAUCGCCCCAAGUUUCCACCCCAAAGGUCCCAAAGACAAUGCCAACUUCUAGCACAUUGUCCAUGUUGCAGCCUUCAACGAAGAAAGUAACUGAUUCAGCCUUAGCGAAGGGUAACAAUCCAUCCAUGGAAGAAAGCAAGAAAGCGGCUCCUAAAUCCUUGCACAUGUCUCUUAGUCUGGAUGCUCCAAAUUCUGGUCCAGCUGCUCAUGCGCCAGCUCCUAUGACAACCACUCGAAAAUCAUUUAUUAUGGAGAAAAUGAAGGAUAAGGACAUUGUCAAACGAGCUUUCAAGACAUUCCAAAACAAUUUAAACCAGUUGAAGGCUUCUGCUGAAGAGAGAUCUUUGGGAGCAAAGCAGGUGCCCACAAAGGGGACAGAAGCUAAGGUUUCCUAUUCUAUGACUCCUCAAAAGGAGAAUGCAGGAGUUGCAUUGAAUGUUUUUGAUAGGUCUUUCAAAGCUGCCAGUAUGGAUAAAAAAAUUGGCAAGGCAGGCCCGUCUUCUUUUGGCUUGAAAAGUGAUGAAAGGGCAGAGAAAAGGAAAGAGUUUUCUAAGAAAUGGGACGAGAAAUCAAAAGCUAAAGAGGCAAAGAGUAAGCGCCUCCAAACAAAAUCAAAGCAGGAAAAAGAGGUGGAGAUAAGAAAGCUAAGACAGAGCCUUAAUUUCAAAGCCACACCCAUGCCAGGUUUUUAUCGGGGACAAAAAGUGUCAAAAAGCCCUUUAGAUAAGGAGGGUUCUAAGACACUUGAGAUAUAAAAGCAUUCAUCAUCUACCAAAAACAGAUGAUAUUAUGAAAUGUCUAAAGCAAAUGGCAGUGGGUGUGCCAUCUGCAUUGGUCUACUACUUCUGCUUCAGAAGCUGCAUUUAUGGGCAUGGGCAACAUAUAUGGAAGAACUGUUAUUCCAGUUAGGAUAAUCUCACCAGGCAAACAUAAAAAUGCAACUGAUUAGUCACCAUUUGUAUACUGAAUUGCUACAAGAAAAAAAAAAAAAAAAGGGUAUGUCAUAGAGCAUACUUGCUAGAUAGGGCUUGUUAAUAAUGUUUCAGGACAGGUUUGGAUGACUUCUCUCACGCCUGCCUCUCCAGAUGCAUUAUAUUGGAGAAAUUUGUCACACAAGAAUAGAAAUUGAUUUCUGCUGCUGGUGUUAUUUUCUGUGCACUGCAGAUCAAUGUAACCUCUGCUGCCUCAAAUAAAGCCUCUGGCACUCUAUACAUAAGCAAUUCCUUGAUGUGCAACGAAAUUGUAUAUCCGAACCAACCUAGUUCCAGCUUAUUCCUUGAUAUACAAUAAAAGGGUAAAUAGCUUUCCUUCUUUAAUUCGGAUCUCUAUCCCAGACCAACUCAAAUUACCCAUUUCUGCUCAAAAUGGAGACAAUUGGUUGGAGAAAUCACAAGGGUUUUUGCUCUGUCAAGUUCAAGCAGUUAGAAAAUGGACGGCAAAGGCCAUGGGAUGCUCCUUUGGCCCUCUUUUUUUUUUUUUUUUUAUGAGUUCGCUAAAUUAUCGCCACGUCUAACAUGUGAUAAAAUUAUCUUGGAUUGGAUCUGACUUCCAUAGUGAUGGCUAAGAAUUCAGUGAUUAUUUAUAUUAAUUAUCACUCAUGAAUGAAGAAUCUAAUAGAAUAUAGUUCUCUC